UACAGAGGUCUCAAGCGUUGUUCGGAUUCAUUGGGCGUAAAGGGCGCGUAGGCUGCGGGGCAAGUCGGGUGUGAAAUCUCAGAGCUCAACUCUGAAACUGCACUCGAUACUGCUUUGCUUGAGGACUGGAGAGGAGAUUGGAAUUCACGGUGUAGCAGUGAAAUGCGUAGAUAUCGUGAGGAAGACCAGUGGCGGAAGGCGGAUCUCUGGACAGUUCCUGACGCUGAGGCGCGAAGGCCAGGGGAGCAAACGGG
rnacentral:rRNA from 1 species